UACGAACUGUGCGAACGUUAUUCGGAAUCACUGGGCUUAAAGGGUGCGUAGGCGGCGCGGUAAGUCGGGUGUGAAAUCUCGGGGCUUAACUCCGAAACUGCAUUCGAUACUGCCGUGCUUGAGGACUGGAGAGGAGACUGGAAUUUACGGUGUAGCGGUGAAAUGCGUAGAUAUCGUAAGGAAGACCAGUGGCGAAGGCGGGUCUCUGGACAGUUCCUGACGCUGAGGCACGAAGGCCAGGGGAGCAAACGGG
rnacentral:rRNA from 1 species